rnacentral:ncRNA from 2 species
GGUCUGUGAUGCCCUUAGAU